AUGAGCUGGAGCAUGAUAAGGAAGAGAAGAUUACAUUCACAAGGGAGCUUCAAGUGUUAGCUGUUAUGCCUAGCAGAAGACAAGACAAUAUGCAUGACAUUGGGUUUUGAGGGUGCCUGAUUAAGAGAUCACCAACAUAAGACUGAAUAAGCAAGAAUUCAAUGACUUGGAGGCACUUUCUGAAGACACAGUAUUGAACUCUGGCAAAGAUGCUAGAGGAUGAGGACUAAACCUAUGACAAUAUCUGAGAGAAUGAAUGGAUA
rnacentral:lncRNA from 1 species